UACGUAGGGGGCAAGCGUUGUCCGGAAUUAUUGGGCGUAAAGCGUCCGCAGGUGGCAGUUCAAGUCUGCUGUCAAAGACCGGGGCUUAACUUCGGAAAGGCAGUGGAAACUGAACAGCUAGAGUAUGGUAGGGGCAGAGGGAAUUCCUGGUGUAGCGGUGAAAUGCGUAGAGAUCAGGAAGAACAUCGGUGGCGAAGGCGCUCUGCUGGACCAUAACUGACACUCAGGGACGAAAGCUAGGGAGCGAAUGGG
rnacentral:rRNA from 1 species